GUGGCAGCAGUCGCGAAAACUUGUCAAUGCACGAAAGUGUGAACGGGCUACCCCGAGUGCCGUCCGCUGAGGAUGGCUUUUCUCUGCUGUAAGAAGGCAGAGGAAUAAGGAGAGGGCAAGUCUGGUGUCAGCCGCCGCGGUAAUACCAGCUCUCCGAGUGGUAGGGAUGAUUAUUGGGCUUAAAGCGUCCGUAGCUGGCCUUUCAAGUCUCUUGUUAAAUCCAGCGAUUCAAUCGUUGGACUGCGGGAGAUACUGUUAGGCUAGGGGGCGGGAGAAGCCGACGGUAUUUCCGGGGUAGGGGUAAAAUCCUAUAAUCCCGGGAGGACCACCAGUGGCGAAGGCGGUCAGCUAGAACGCGCCCGACGGCGAGGGACGAAAGCUGGGGGAGCAAACCGGAUUAGAUACCCGUGUAGUCC
rnacentral:rRNA from 1 species